CCUACGGGAGGCAGCAGUGAGGAAUAUUGGUCAAUGGACGAGAGCCUGAACCAGCCAAGUAGCGUGAAGGAUGAAGGCCCUAUGGGUUGUAAACUUCUUUUAUAAAGGAAUAAAACGAGGCACGCGUGCCUUUUUGCAUGUACUUUAUGAAUAAGGAUCGGCUAACUCCGUGCCAGCAGCCGCGGUAAUACGGAGGAUCCGAGCGUUAUCCGGAUUUAUUGGGUUUAAAGGGAGCGUAGAUGGGUUGGUAAGUCAGUUGUGAAAGUUUGCGGCUCAACCGUAAAAUUGCAAUUGAUACUGGCAGUCUUGAGUACAUUUGAGGUAAGCGGAAUGCGUGGUGUAGCGGUGAAAUGCUUAGAUAUCACGAAGAACCCCGAUUGCGAAGGCAGCUUACUAAACUGUGACUGACAUUGAUGCUCGAAAGUGUGGGGAUCAAACAGGAUUAGAUACCCUUGUAGUC
rnacentral:rRNA from 1 species